UUAACACAUGCAAGUCGAACGAUGAUCUCCAGCUUGCUGGGGGGAUUAGUGGCGAACGGGUGAGUAACACGUGAGUAACCUGCCCUUGACUCUGGGAUAAGCCUGGGAAACCGGGUCUAAUACUGGAUACGACCUUCCCGCGCAUGCGGUGUUGGUGGAAAGCUUUUGCGGUUUUGGAUGGACUCGCGGCCUAUCAGCUUGUUGGUGGGGUAAUGGCCUACCAAGGCGACGACGGGUAGCCGGCCUGAGAGGGUGACCGGCCACACUGGGACUGAGACACGGCCCAGACUCCUACGGGAGGCAGCAGUGGGGAAUAUUGCACAAUGGGCGAAAGCCUGAUGCAGCGACGCCGCGUGAGGGAUGAAGGCCUUCGGGUUGUAAACCUCUUUCAGUAGGGAAGAAGCUGGCCUUUUGGGUUGGUGACGGUACCUGCAGAAGAAGCGCCGGCUAACUACGUGCCAGCAGCCGCGGUAAUACGUAGGGCGCAAGCGUUAUCCGGAAUUAUUGGGCGUAAAGAGCUCGUAGGCGGUUUGUCGCGUCUGCCGUGAAAGUCCGGGGCUUAACUCCGGAUCUGCGGUGGGUACGGGCAGACUAGAGUGCAGUAGGGGAGACUGGAAUUCCUGGUGUAGCGGUGAAAUGCGCAGAUAUCAGGAGGAACACCGAUGGCGAAGGCAGGUCUCUGGGCUGUAACUGACGCUGAGGAGCGAAAGCAUGGGGAGCGAACAGGAUUAGAUACCCUGGUAGUCCAUGCCGUAAACGUUGGGC
rnacentral:rRNA from 1 species